rnacentral:rRNA from 1 species
AACGAACGCUGGCGGCGUGCUUAACACAUGCAAGUCGGACGAGAAAGGGAGCUUCGGUUCCUGAGUAAAGUGGCGCACGGGUGCGUAACACGUAAGUAAUCUACCCUAGACACUGGGAUAACUUUCCGAAAGGGAGGCUAAUACCGGAUAGGUUCCUGUGACAACAGUCAUGGGGGGAAAGCAGGCCUCUGUUUCAAGCUUGCAGUCUAGGAUGAGCUUGCGGCCCAUUAGCAGUUGGUAGGGUAAAGGCCUACCAAGGCGACGAUGGGUAGCUGGUCUGAGAGGAUGAUCAGCCACACUGGCACUGAGACACGGGCCAGGACUCCUACGGGAGGCAGCAGUGGGGAAUUUUGCGCAAUGGGCGAAAGCCUGACGCAGUAACGCCGCGUGGAGGAUGAAGGCC